rnacentral:rRNA from 1 species
GAUGAACGCUAGCUACAGGCUUAACACAUGCAAGUCGAGGGGUCUUUCUGGAGCUUGCUUUAGAAAGACGACCGGCGCACGGGUGAGUAACGCGUAUCCAACCUGCCCUUCAUAUUGGGAUAGCCUUCCGAAAGGGAGAUUAAUACCGAAUAACAUGAGAAAGUUGCCUGAUUUUCUCAUGAAAGCUCCGGCGAUGAAGGAUGGGGAUGCGUUCCAUUAGGUAGUAGGCGGGGUAACGGCCCACCUAGCCUACGAUGGAUAGGGGUUCUGAGAGGAAGGUCCCCCACACUGGAACUGAGACACGGUCCAGACUCCUACGGGAGGCAGCAGUGAGGAAUAUUGGUCAAUGGGCGCAAGCCUGAACCAGCCAAGUAGCGUGAAGGAUGACUGCCCUAUGGGUUGUAAACUUCUUUUAUACGGGAACAAAUGUUGGUACGCGUACCGAUUUGCGUGUACCGUAUGAAUAAGCAUCGGCUAACUCCGUG